UACGUAGGGUGCGAGCGUUAAUCGGAAUUACUGGGCGUAAAGCGUGCGCAGGCGGUUUGAUAAGUCCGAUGUGAAAAUCCCCGGGCGUCAACCUGGGAACGUGCAUUUAGUUGACUGCAUCGCUGGAGUACGGCGAGAGGGGAGUGAAGUUACCGCGUGUAGCAGUGAAAUGCGUAGAUAUGCGGAGGAACACCGAUGGCGAAGGCAAUCCCCU
rnacentral:rRNA from 1 species